CUCUUGAAGGAAAAUCAUGGAAGAAACCCCAUCAGUACUACUGAUCAUGCCUUGUCAAUCUGCAAGCAUAUGCACUAUAUAUCCAUGAUAAGGACACGAUGAAUCGAUGAGGCCAACUUCUUUAAAAAAUCUCAAGAAAGCCAAGCUAAAUCUCUUGUUCAAUCAAUCGCAGAUAACCCUGUCCUCGUCUCAUUACGCUAAGAAUGUUAUGUAUACAGUACUGUGCCUGUCCUCGUCUCAUUACGCUAAGAAUGUUAUGUAUACAGAGUACUGUGCCUCGUGAUGGCCUUGCCAGCACCAACAGUUGGCUUAUUUGCUGUCUUCUUCCCUCCAUUCGUCCAAGAAAUUCAUUUGUUUUGGCUCCCAUUGCUAUUCUGCAGAAGAUCGAGCUAGCUCAUGCGACGUUUACAGUGCCAGUAGCAGCGUUGAUAGUUCCCUUUCUUGCACCAUGCAUGCUUUUAGGGCCAGUCCCUGAACUGCUAGCCUCAAACCCCCCCCCCCCCCCCCCAUGUUCAUCCUUCUUGACACAGUAAAGUGAAUUAUUGUCUACUCCUUGUGUUUUAUUUGUGUUGAGCUGCUACCAAUCUAGUUUUUUUCCUUUCAAAAUACCUUUCCAGGCAUAAAUUAAUUGAAAGAAACCUGGAAGUAGCUUGGCUUGGUUAUUUUAUAAUAAAGGAACUAAUGAAGCUUUAAAGUAAUUAACGAUCAUAGACAGUCCAUGGAUUAACCUUUUUUUUCCUCCUAAAACCAGAGAAUUUAGGUCAUUAUAUAGCUAAAAAACACAGUAUUAAAUUAUU
rnacentral:lncRNA from 1 species